rnacentral:misc_RNA from 1 species
UCUCCGUUGGUGAACCAGCGGAGGGACCAUUACCGAGUUUACAACUCCCAAACCCAAUGUGAACGUUGCCAAACUGUUGCCUCGGCGGGAUCUCUGCCCCGGGUGCGUCGCAGCCCCGGACCAAGGCGCCCGCCGGAGGACCAACCAAAACUCUUUAUGUAUACCCCCUCGCGGGUUUUUUCACAAUCUGAGCCAUCUCGGCGCCCCUCGUGGGCGUUUCGAAAAUGAAUCAAAACUUUCAACAACGGAUCUCUUGGUUCUG